AAGCUUGCUUCUUGGGUGGCGAGUGGCGAACGGGUGAGUAAUAUAUCGGAACGUACCGAGUAAUGGGGGAUAACUAAUCGAAAGAUUAGCUAAUACCGCAUAUUCUCUGAGGAGGAAAGCAGGGGACCUUCGGGCCUUGCGUUAUUCGAGCGGCCGAUAUCUGAUUAGCUAGUUGGUGGGGUAAAGGCCUACCAAGGCGACGAUCAGUAGCGGGUCUGAGAGGAUGAUCCGCCACACUGGGACUGAGACACGGCCCAGACUCCUACGGGAGGCAGCAGUGGGGAAUUUUGGACAAUGGGCGCAAGCCUGAUCCAGCCAUGCCGCGUGUCUGAAGAAGGCCUUCGGGUUGUAAAGGACUUUUGUCAGGGAAGAAAAGGCUGUUGCUAAUACCGACAGCUUGAUGACGGUACCUGAAGAAUAAGCACCGGCUAACUACGUGCCAGCAGCCGCGGUAAUACGUAGGGUGCGAGCGUUAAUCGGAAUUACUUGGGCGUAAAGCGAGCGCAGACGGUUACUUAAGCAGGAUGUGAAAUCCCCGGGCUCAACCUGGGAACUGCGUUCCUGAACUGGGUGACUAGAGUGUGUCAGAGGGAGUUAGAAUUCCACGUGUAGCAGUGAAUAUGCGUAGAGAUGUGGAGGAAUACCGAUGGCGAAGGCAGCCUCCUGGGAUAACACUGACGUUCAUGCUCGAAAGCGUGGGUAGCAAACAGGAUUAGAUACCCUGGUAGUCCACGCCCUAAACGAUGUCAAUUAGCUGUUGGGCAACUUGAUUGCUUAGUAGC
rnacentral:rRNA from 1 species